AACGAACGCUGGCGGCAGGCUUAACACAUGCAAGUCGAACGCCCCGCAAGGGGAGUGGCAGACGGGUGAGUAACGCGUGGGAACGUACCCUUUACUACGGAAUAGCUCUGGGAAACUGGAAUUAAUACCGUAUACGCCCUACGGGGGAAAGAUUUAUCGGGGAAGGAUUGGCCCGCGUUGGAUUAGCUAGUUGGUGGGGUAAAGGCCUACCAAGGCGACGAUCCAUAGCUGGUCUGAGAGGAUGAUCAGCCACAUUGGGACUGAGACACGGCCCAAACUCCUACGGGAGGCAGCAGUGGGGAAUAUUGGACAAUGGGCGCAAGCCUGAUCCAGCCAUGCCGCGUGAGUGUUGAAGGCCUUAGGGUUGUAAAGCUCUUUCACCGAUGAAGAUAAUGACGGUAGUCGGAGAAGAAGCCCCGGCUAACUUCGUGCCAGCCGCCGCCGUAAUAC
rnacentral:rRNA from 1 species